CUUGCAGAAUUGCUCCACCACAGAUGACGCUUCCCCCUUGCAAGUCAGGACCAGAGGCCCUCACACUCUCUUGAGAGCACCACCACCUGUCCUUCACAUCCUCAUUCUGAAGCUUGCUUGACUGCCUCUAUUGCCUACAGAUCUCCCAACUUGCAACUCUUAAUUUACUGCACAACAAAUCUGCAGACAUUACAGAAUCAGCUCAAUACGUCAUUUUAUUUCAACUGAACAGAGUCAAUUCUUGUGUUUCAUGUGCUAGAAACACUGAAUGAAAUCAAUGACUAUUGCUGGUCAGUUUCAAAGAUGUAACCCUGUGAGGAGCAACAGGACAUUAUAAACAUGAAAUGGACUUUAUCUGAAUGUGAAAUGCAACAGGAUGCAGAGAAAGUCCAUUCUAAGUUGAGUCGAAGAAUAUCUCACAAAGAAAGCACUGAAACUGUGGACGUGUAACUGUGUUGACUUUCAAACUCUGGUCACUUCUGUGGUCUAGGAGUGGUUAGUGUUCCCAGGUGUGGCCCCUAGAUCAGCAGCACCACCUGGAGACUUGCUAGAAACACCCCUGUUCAGGUGUCAUUUUAGAGCUGAUGAAUGAAAACCUCUGAGACUGAGGUUCUGCUAUCUGUGUCUUCACAAAAUUUAAAGUGUCUGAACUUGUGUGCUCUUCACUAACAGAUUCUGGGCCGGAGCUCAUUCUGGUAACAGUAAAAACAGUAAUAGUCAAAUGUCUUAAAGAAACAGUUUUCUCAGAAGUCUCUACCUGGAUUGAAAUCAUUCUGAAAUAUACCUCAGGCCUAUUCCUAGAGCAGCUCAGAAUCCCCAAGAUACUUCACAACUACAGAGAGGGUGGGGAUUAAGUCUUUGAAGCAGUCAAAUACUGCCCUCUGGUGUCAGGUGGGGAAAUAACACAAGCGCUAUACUAUGGUUCUGUCCCCACGAAGUAUUUAAACUAUACUUACUGGGUGGCGGUAGAUAGGAUAAUGGUUAUGCAAAGAGACUUUCAUGUCUGAGGCUCUGAAGUCUCAGGUUCUAACCCU